rnacentral:rRNA from 1 species
CUGUCCGGUACAGGGGGAUAAGCGGCGGAAACGCCGUUUAAUACCGCGUGACAACCCGAGGGGGCAUCCCCUUGGGUUCAAAGGAGAGAUCCGGUACCGGCUGGGCAUGCGGCGCAUUAGCUAGUUGGCGGGGCAACGGCCCACCAAGGCGACGAUGCGUAGGGGUUCUGAGAGGAAGGUCCCCCACACUGGAACUGAGACACGGUCCAGACUCCUACGGGAGGCAGCAGUGAGGAAUAUUGGUCAAUGGGCGCAAGCCUGAACCAGCCAAGUCGCGUGAGGGAAGACGGCCCUACGGGUUGUAAACCUCUUUUGCCGGGGAGCAAGCCUGAGCACGUGUGCCCAGGCGGAGAGUACCCGGAGAAAAAGCAUCGGCUAACUCCGUGCCAGCAGCCGCGGUAAUACGGAGGAUGCGAGCGUUAUCCGGAUUUAUUGGGUUUAAAGGGUGCGCAGGCGGGCUGUUAAGCCGGCGGUAAAAAUUCAGGGCUCAACCCUGUCGAGCCGUCGGAACUGGCAGUCUUGAGUGGGCGAGAAGUAUGCGGAAUGCGUGGUGUAGCGGUGAAAUGCAUAGAUAUCACGCAGAACGCCGAUUGCGAAGGCAGCAUACCGGCGCCCAACUGACGCUGAGGCACGAAAGCGUGGGGAUCGAACAGGAUUAGAUACCCUGGUAGUCCACGCAGUAAACGAUGA